rnacentral:rRNA from 1 species
UUAAAUUGAAGAGUUUGAUCAUGGCUCAGAUUGAACGCUGGCGGCAGGCCUAACACAUGCAAGUCGAACGGUAACAGGAAUCAGCUUGCUGAUUUGCUGACGAGUGGCGGACGGGUGAGUAAUGUCUGGGAAACUGCCUGA